rnacentral:rRNA from 1 species
GACGAACGCUGGCGGCGUGCCUAAUACAUGCAAGUUGAGCGCUGAAGGUUGGUACUUGUACCAACUGGAUGAGCAGCGAACGGGUGAGUAACGCGUGGGGAAUCUGCCUUUGAGCGGGGGACACCAUUUGGAAACGAAUGCUAAUACCGCAUAAAACCUUAAAAAACAAGUUUUAAGUUUGAAAGAUGCAUUUGCAUCACUCAAAGAUGAUCCCGCGUUGUAUUAGCUAGUUGGUGAGGUAAAGGCUCACCAAGGCGAUGAUACAUAGCCGACCUGAGAGGGUGAUCGGCCACAUUGGGACUGAGACACGGCCCAAACUCCUACGGGAGGCAGCAGUAGGGAAUCUUCGGCAAUGGACGAAAGUCUGACCGAGUAACGCCGCGUGAGUGAAGAAGGUUUUCGGAUCGUAAAACUCUGUUGGUAGAGAAGAACGUUGGUGAGAGUGAAAAGCUCAUCAAGUGACGGUAACUACCCAGAAAGGGACGGCUAACUACGUG